UGAGAAGUUCACAAGUAUCCUAAACAGUGA
rnacentral:piRNA from 1 species